rnacentral:rRNA from 1 species
AACGUAGGAGACAAACGUUAUCCGGAGUUACUGGGCGUAAAGGGCGUGUAGGCGGUUUGUUAAGUCUGGCGUGAAAGCUCUCGGCUAAACCGGGAGAGGUCGUUGGAUACUGGCAAACUUGAGGAUGGUAGAGGCGUGUGGAAUUCCGGGUGUAGUGGUGAAAUGCGUAGAGAUCCGGAGGAACACCAGUGGCGAAGGCGACACGCUGGGCCAUACCUGACGCUAAAGCGCGACAGCAUGGGGAGCAAACGGG